AAUUCCAAAUCCGAAAUCCGAGCAUGAUAUGAUCUAUAUAUGUUCCUUGGCACUCUUAUGUAUGAUUUGAUGAAAUAUGAACCUUUAUGUAUUUGAAAUAAUCGCUUUCCAAACUUUGCGCAAAAAGGUUUCACUUUAAAGAACUUCGAAAUUUCUGAAUGCCAUACAUUUCACAUAAAUGCUCGGAUUACUCCAAUAUUUUUAUAAAAGUUUGCAUUAUGUAUGAUACGUAUGUUUUUCAUAGGCGGGCCCGACUUGGGUAAAUACCCGUCCGUGGGUCCCGCGACUUUCCUUUAUGUAAUUCAGAGAAUCUUUGAAAGAAUUUGGUAUGAUUAUUAUUCCGAUUUCAAAUAUGAUCAUUUUACUUAUGUUUGAAUUUAUGAUAAUGAUUUUAUGCAUAUGACUACUCACGACUCUACUCGUGCAUUCUGUUAUUCCUUUCGCCGAGUCCCGGGCCGGUUCUGUUGUCGUGCGCAUUUUGAUAUACUCCGGAGUUAUGCUGUGUUUAUGGUUCACCGAGCUACUCGCAAAAGAGGGUCGGGUUCCACCUAUAUUUGGUGUUAUGCUGUGUAUGGCGUUAUGUUGUGAUGUGAUAUGUGACGGUGAUACGGAGAUUUGAAACUUUCUGGUGUUAUGCUGUGUUAUGGCGCCAUCGACGGGUGGGCGACCAUAUUCUUCUGUACCCUAUGCAUUACUUACAUAUUUUUGAAAGUACAGACGCACAGUUUGGUGAUCUACCCAUUUAGGACACCCUAUUCUGCUGUUUGGAGUGCUCUUCUCAUUUCAGAGCACACAUUUUGGUAUAUAUUCGUUCGCCAUGUAUAUAUGUAUUUGUUCAGGGGCACGGCGGGGCCCUGUCCCGCCAUAUGAUUCGGUUUGUCUGUUUAGAGGUCUGUAGACGUAUUUGUGGGUGUGUGUGCCUACUUCUGUACGGAUGUGUUUGCAUGACUCUAUUCGUUAUGGCAGCCUCGUCGGCGUGCAUUUUGUAUAUGUUUGUGGCAGCCUUGUCGGCGUGCAUUUGUAUAUGCGUUUUGGGCCGUUGUGCCAUUUGACAGCCUUGUCGGCUUUUGACAUAUUUGAUAGCCUUGCCGGCUUUUUGAUAUAUGUGCAUAUGUUCGGCGAUGUAUAUUCCGCCGCCUCUUCUGAUUCUGAUAUAAUGUUUUGUACGCGCAAUCGCGCAAGAUAA